AUACCGUGAAACUGCGAAUGGCUCAUUAAAUCAGUUAUCGUUUAUUUGAUAGUACCUUACUACUUGGAUAACCGUGGUAAUUCUAGAGCUAAUACAUGCUAAAAACCUCGACUUCGGGAGAGGUGUGUUUAUUAGAUAAAAAACCAAUGCCCUCCGGGGCUCCUUGGUGAUUCAUGAUAACUUCUCAGAUCGCAUGGCUACACGCCGGCGACGGUUCAUUCAAAUUUCUGCCCUAUCAACUUUGAUGGUAAGGUAGUGGCUUACCAUGGUUUCAACGGGUAACGGGGAAUUAGGGUUCGAUUCCGGAGAGGGAGCCGGAGGAACGGCUACCACAUCCAAGGAAGGCAGCAGGCGCGCAAAUUACCCAAUGCCAAAUCGGCGAGGUAGCGACAAGAAAUACUGAUACAGGGCUCUUUUGGGUCUUGUAAUUGGAAUGAGUACAAUUUAAACCUCUUAACGAGGAACAAUUGGAGGGCAAGUCUGGUGCCAGCAGCCGCGGUAAUUCCAGCUCCAAUAGCGUAUAUUAAAGUUGUUGAGUUAAAAAGCUCGUAGUUGAACCUUUGGCCUGGCUGGCAGGUCCGCCUCACCGCGUGCACUUGCCCGGCCGGGCCUUUUCUUCUGGAGAACCGCAUGCCCUUCACUGGGUGUGUUGGGGACCAGGACUUUUACUUUGAAAAAAUUAGAGUG
rnacentral:rRNA from 1 species